ACAUUUUUAUUAUGUGCAUUUUGGAGAAUAAAAGAUUGUACACAAUUUCCCUUUUUAAAGUAAAAAGAUUAUUAAGUCUAAUUCUUACUUAUUCAGUAGAUUAAAGUAUUGAAACAUCAUUAUUCAUAAAAUAUGCACAUUACAAAAUUAAAGUUAUUCAAAAAUUACUCAAGUAUUUACUCCAAUACUCACAUUAUUCAAGUAAAUUUAAUUUUUGCCAAUGUAAUGUCACAUAAAAUCUUAAUCUGAAUAAGGGAUUUGAACCCCACUGUCACGGCCAGGGGAUCAGCAGGCCGCUGACUAGUAGUGUUGUCUCUCUCUCUCUCUCUCUCUCUCUCUCCUCAUGGUGGGUUCACGCCCUCGGCCCACGCCCCUCUGAAGAGGAAACACCUGGGCCUCAUCAGUGCAGCCAGCAUUUAAGCCAGGGAGUGGCUUCUACUCAUCGCUGGAUCGUUGUGUGUGACUCGCAUCCCCUGGACCCGACUCUGCAUUCCCCGAGCGGAUUCCCUUUUUGUGUGAGUGUUUGGAGAGAGAGUCAGAAGAGGAGCAAGUGUCUUUCCCCUACCUGGAUUUCCCCGGAGCCUUUUCCCUGUCACCGCUUUGUAUAUAGCACUAUCCCCUGCACUGUUUGUAUAUACACCUGGUGGAACUGUAAUAAAUACUGACUGUGCCUCUGA